rnacentral:lncRNA from 1 species
UUUCAGGGAACUGCUGGCUCAGUGUUCAGUUUUCAUUCCACAAAUCCAUGACUCACGAAUAAAUGCCUGGAUAAAUGAACACUGAGGAUCUCAGUUGCAGCUGGCAAUUACCCUACCUUUUGAUGGCACUUAUUCUAUUCUGCAUCUGGAAAUUCCAUUUCCACUUGAAGUAUGUAUAAAUGGAUGUCACCCUUAAGGUUUAAACACAACCCCUAUUACUUAGCCAAGACUGUUCUGAACAAUGGUGUUUACUAAUUAGCUCAAUUUCAAUUUCAGUUUCAGUUCUCGAGCCA